GGAAGAUUAAUACCCCAUAAUAUAUUGAAUGGCAUCAUUUGAUAUUGAAAACUCCGGUGGAUAGAGAUGGGCACGCGCAAGAUUAGAUAGUUGGUGAGGUAACGGCUCACCAAGUCAGCGAUCUUUAGGGGGCCUGAGAGGGUGAUCCCCCACACUGGUACUGAGACACGGACCAGACUCCUACGGGAGGCAGCAGUGAGGAAUAUUGGACAAUGGGUGAGAGCCUGAUCCAGCCAUCCCGCGUGAAGGACGACGGCCCUAUGGGUUGUAAACUUCUUUUGUAUAGGGAUAAACCUACCCUCGUGAGGGUAGCUGAAGGUACUAUACGAAUAAGCACCGGCUAACUCCGUGCCAGCAGCCGCGGUAAUACGGAGGGUGCAAGCGUUAUCCGGAUUUAUUGGGUUUAAAGGGUCCGUAGGCUGAUUUGUAAGUCAGUGGUGAAAUCUCACAGCUUAACUGUGAAACUGCCAUUGAUACUGCAAGUCUUGAGUGUUGUUGAAGUAGCUGGAAUAAGUAGUGUAGCGGUGAAAUGCAUAGAUAUUACUUAGAACACCAAUUGCGAAGGCAGGUUACUAAGCAACAACUGACGCUGAUGGACGAAAGCGUGGGGAGCGAACAGGAUUAGAUACCCUGGUAGUCCACGCCGUAAACGAUGCUAACUCGUUUUUGGGCUUUUGGGUUCAGAGACUAAGCGAAAGUGAUAAGUUAGCCACCUGGGGAGUACGAACGCAAGUUUGAAACUCAAAGGAAUUGACGGGGGCCCGCACAAGCGGUGGAUUAUGUGGUUUAAUUCGAUGAUACGCGAGGAACCUUACCAAGGCUUAAAUGGGAAAUGACAGGCUUAGAAAUAGGCUUUUCUUCGGACAUUUUUCAAGGUGCUGCAUGGUUGUCGUCAGCUCGUGCCGUGAGGUGUUAGGUUAAGUCCUGCAACGAGCGCAACCCCUGUCACUAGUUGCCAUCAUUAAGUUGGGGACUCUAGUGAGACUGCCUACGCAAGUAGAGAGGAAGGUGGGGAUGACGUCAAAUCAUCACGGCCCUUACGCCUUGGGCCACACACGUAAUACAAUGGCCGGUACAGAGGGCAGCUACACUGCGAAGUGAUGCAAAUCUCGAAAGCCGGUCUCAGUUCGGAUUGGAGUCUGCAACUCGACUCUAUGAAGCUGGAAUCGCUAGUAAUCGCGCAUCAGCCAUGGCGCGGUGAAUACGUUCCCGGGCCUUGUACACACCGCCCGUCAAGCCAUGGAAGUCUGGGGUACCUGAAGUCGGUGACCGUAACAGGAGCUGCCUAGGGUAAAACAGGGUAACUAGGGCUAAGUCGUAACAAGGUAGCCGUACCGGGAAGGUGCGGCUGG
rnacentral:rRNA from 1 species